GGAUCAUUACGAAAAGGAGUAUCCGUACUCUUAAACCCUUUGUGAACUUACCUUUUUGUCAGUUGCUUCGGCGGGAGGCCCCUGGGAGGGGCCCCGGGGCCCGUCCUGAGCCGGGCUCCCGCCGGAGGAGCGCAAACCUAGACUCUUUGUUGUACCUCAGUGGAACCUCCGAGUAAAAACAAAUAAAAACAAGUUAAAACUUUCAACAACGGAUCUCUUGGUUCUGGCAUCGAUGAAGAACGCAGCGAAAUGCGAUAAGUAAUGUGAAUUGCAGAAUUCAGUGAAUCAUCGAAUCUUUGAACGCACAUUGCGCCCGCCAGCAUUCUGGCGGGCAUGCCUGUUCGAGCGUCAUUUCAACCCCUCAGGCCCUGGUGCCUGGCGUCGGGGCUCUCCCCUCUAAAAAAGGGAGUCCCCUAGAGACAGUGGCGGACCCGCCGCGGCUCCGAGCGCAGUAGUAAAAUUCUCGCUUAGGAGGCCCGCGGAGGUGAUAUCCGGCCGUAAAAACUCUCCUGGGUCCGGUCACACGGACACGCGAGAACCCCCACAAGGUUGACCUC
rnacentral:rRNA from 1 species